GGCCCAAUGGUCUAGUAGUAUGAUUCGCGCUUCGGGUUGCUGAAGUGUUUCCGGGAUUGCGCGAGGUCCCGGGUUCAAUUCCCGGUUGGGCCC